GAUGAACGCUAGCGGGAGGCUUAAUACAUGCAAGUCAAGGGGGUAGCAAUACAACCGGCGCACGGGUGAGUAACGCGUACACAACAUACCAUAUACUGGGGUAUAGCUUUGGGAAACUGAAGGUAAUCCCCCAUAACAUUGCGAGAGGGCAUCUGAUUGCAAUUAAAGUUUCGGCGGUAUAUGAUUGGUGUGCGUUUGAUUAGCUAGUUGGUAGGGUAACGGCCUACCAAGGCGACGAUCAAUAGCUGGCGUGAGAGCGCGACCAGCCACACUGGAACUGAGACACGGUCCCGACUCCUACGGGAGGCAGCAGUAAGGAAUAUUGGUCAAUGGACGAAAGUCUGAACCAGCCCAUGACCGCGUGGAGGAUGAAGGUCCUCUGGAUUGUAAACUUCUUUAUAGAA
rnacentral:rRNA from 1 species